rnacentral:lncRNA from 1 species
GUUAUUGUAAUCUGGGUUUGAUCAUCGAAGCUUUCUGAACGAAGGAAGGUUUUUGUCUGCCUAUCUCUCAUAUUUCCAAUCGUAUGCGUCAUUUGUUGGUUUUCUUUUUGCCCCUUCGAUUUUGAAACGUUAUAUGAACCAUAAAUUUAUUUGUUCGUGGAUGAAUUUUGGCUUUUGCAUUGGCCGUUUAUUACAACCGAUCAUUAAAAAUUGAUGUUUAUUUAAAACUUCUAUUAUUUACUAUAGUUUUUCUCUCACUUAGUGUUUUCAGCCGAAGAGUGAAUCGUGUUUUAGACUGAUGUCAGGUUUAGAGGAGUGAAUCGUGUUUUAGACUGAUGUGAGGUAUAGAGGCUUCUUUUUAUGUGAAUCUAGAAAUUCGCAUUGCAGCCACUAGUUCAAUUAUGCUUACUUGUUAGUAGAUGGGGAAAAAAUGUGUUUACAAUAUUAGUGUAUCGUGUAUUGUUUGUGAUUUUAGCGGGUGAAUAUUUAUUCACCUUAUACCCUUCCUCCUCGAAUUCUUCUAUAG